rnacentral:rRNA from 1 species
UGAAUACGAGACGCUAAGGCGUCGAAGUAGUGUAUGUCAUACUUCCAAGAAAAGCUUGCACUGUCAUAGAUAAAAAACGCCUGUACCAUAACCGACACAGGUGGGUAGGUAGAGUAUACUAAGGGGCGCGAGAUAACUCUCUCUAAGGAACUCGGCAAAAUAACUCCGUAACUUCGGGAGAAGGAGUGCCUUAUUCGUAAGGUUGCAAUAACAAGAUCCAAGCAACUGUUUAUCAAAAACACAGGUCUCCGCUAAGUCGUAAGACGAUGUAUGGGGGCUGACGCCUGCCCAGUGCCAGAAGGUUAAAGAAGUUGGUUAGCAAUUGCGAAGCUGAUAACUGAAGCCCUGGUGAACGGCGGCCGUAACAAUAACGGUCCUAAGGUAGCGAAAUUCCUUGUCGGGUAAGUUCCGACCCGCACGAAAGGCGUAAUGAUUUGGAUACUGUCUCGGAGAGGGGCUCGGUGAAAUAGACUUGUCUGUGAAGAUGCGGACUACCUGCACCAGGACAGAAAGACCCUAUGAGGCUUUACUGUAACUUGAAAUUGAAAUUGGACUUUAUUCGCGCAGUAUAGGUGGGAGGCGUUGAUUAUAAUCUUGUGGGAUUAUUGGAGCCAUCAGUGAGAUACCACUCUUGUAAUGUUAGAUUUCUAACUUUGAAUCAUUAUCUGGUCAAAGAACAGUUUCAGGCGGGCAGUUUGACUGGGGCGGUCGCCUCCUAAACGGUAACGGAGGCGUACAAAGGUUUCCUCUGAACGGUUAGAAAUCGUAUCUAGAGUGUAAAGGCAUAAGGAAGCUUGACUGUGAGACCUACAAGUCGAGCAGGGACGAAAGUCGGUCUUAGUGAUCUGACGGUACUGAGUGGAAAGGCCGUCACUCAACGGAUAAAAGUUACUCUAGGAUAACAGGCUGAUCUCCCCCAAGAGUUCACAUCGACGGGGAGGUUUGGCACCUCGAUGUCGGCUCAUCGCAUCCUGGGGCGGUAGUACGUCCCAAGGGUUGGGCUGUUCGCCCAUGAAAGCGGUACGCGAGCUGGGUUCAGAACGUCGUGAGACAGUUCGGUCCAUAUCCGGUGUAGGCGUUAGAAUAUUGAGAGGAGCCUUCUUUAGUACGAGAGGACCGAGAAGGACAUACCUCUGGUGUACCAGUUAUCGUGCCAACGGUAAACGCUGGGUAGCUAUGUAUGGAGUGGAUAACCGCUGAAAGCAUCUAAGUGGGAAGCCCACCUCAAGAUAAGUAUUCUCAUC